rnacentral:rRNA from 1 species
UACGUAGGUGGCAAGCGUUGUCCGGAUUUAUUGGGUUUAAAGGGUGCGUAGGCGGUUUAAUAAGUCAGUGGUGAAAUACGGCAGCUCAACUGUCGAGGUGCCAUUGAUACUGUUGGACUUGAGUACAGACGAGGUAGGCGGAAUUGACGGUGUAGCGGUGAAAUGCUUAGAUAUCGUCAAGAACACCGAUAGCGAAGGCAGCUUACUAGGCUGUAACUGACGCUGAGGCACGAAAGUGUGGGGAUCAAACAGG